GCCGGAACAGCCUGGGCUCUGUUCCAGGCCUUCCCACGGCCAGAACAGGAUGUCCUCCACACUUCAGCCCAGUGUAUCAUGUGACCCUGAAGUAUAUCACCUGGGCCUGGCUGCUUUUCAGGGUCCCUUUCCUGCAUUGCAAGUAGGGCAGCACAGUCGGUGCUCCGUCCAUCCUGGGCAGCUUUCUUGGGCCUUGAGGGAACAGCUCACAGUGAAUCAGGAUUCUGUUGUCCUUUGCUGCCUAUUGAACUCUGACAGGACUGUCCAGUCAUUGCUGACAAAGCCCAGUCCUACAUAUCAUCAUAGUACAUGAGUCUGAAUGCUGGAGGGAUCGGGGUAACCAGCAUUUAGAAUUCCUAAGACUCUUCUUGGGAGGCUGAAGCAGGAGGACUCCUUGAGCCCGGGAGUGCAGGAGCAGCCUGAGUAACAUGGCAAGACCCCAUCUCAGAAAAGAAAAAAAAUUCCUAAGACUCAUUCCUGUUCUAUUCAUCAUUCCUUUGAGAAAAAUUUUUCCUAUGUUCCAACUGUGGAAGACUGGAUACACCUUGAAUGCAACCUCCUUUCAUGUCUUCAAGGAAACCUAAAUAUCCUGAUUGAAAAAGGAAAAAAAGGGAAGUCACUGUGGAUGUCAACGAACACACUGGCUUUCCACAGCUGGAAUCAGAGACAAUUUGGAGCUUGAUGGACUCCACUGCAAUAGACUUGAAACUUUAUUUGUGUCAUUUGGUCACAGCAAAUGGGACCUGGCUUUUCUGGGAAAGAAUUCCAGCUGCCAAUUUGAAUCCACUGAGUAGUUCUAUCCAGUGCCAAUUAUAAUCUUGAAAAAUGCAGUCCCAAAUACCCUAAUUCUGAAUGUUGAAAUCCCAAAAGAUCAAAAUCCCUAACAACCAAAAUCCCCAAAAUCGCAAUCAUGAAAGAUUAAAAUCCUGAAUGCUGAAUUCUGGGGGAAAGGAUUAGUGUGUUUUCAGUUGCACACUGGAUAGUUACAUCAUGUUAAUUGCAUCAAGUUAGUCAGAACUAUUAUCUUGCUGUCUUUAUUUGGAAAUUAAAUGUGGUUUAAGGCGAUGCAUAUGGGUGACAAAGGGUGGACUUGUGUAUAGCCUACAAGCCUGGUAAAGCAUUAUUUUGGAUGUAUCUGUAAGGGUUUUCUCAGAGGAGAUUAGUGUGUGAGUCUGACUGGGUUAACUCACUCAGUAGUUAGGUGUGGGGGAUCUGCUGUCAAUGUUGAAGGACACCAUCCAAUCAGCUGGAGGCCAGGAGAGAGAAGAAACACAUAAGGCAAAUUGGUCUCUCUCUGAGAGGUGGGGUAGACCUUCUGCUGCCUUGGACACUAGAACUCCCUGUUCACCAGUCUUCGGACUCAGGACUUUCACAAGCUAUCUCCUAGGUGCUGAGGCUUCCAGCCACAAACUCGGUUACAACAUCAGCUUUCCUAGUUCUGUGAACUUCAGACUUCGACUGAACCAAGUCUCUAGCUUGCAGACGGCCUGUUGUGGAACUUCUCAGCCUCCAUAACUGUGUGAACCCAUCCUACUGAUAAAGCUCCUGUCCUCUAUCUAUACACAUAUCCUAUUUGUUCUGUCUCUCUGGAGAACCUUGACUAAAAUAGAUUUGGUAUUAAGGAAGCCAAAUGUCAUUCCUCCUUACUGUAUUACUUGCAACAUAACGGGAGACAUCUGUGAAAUUUUUCUCUCACAAAAGGCUAUGAUGAUCUAAGUGUAUGAGGCCUCCUAAUAGUGAAAGAUAAAACUUUAAAAGCUAAUUACUAUUGGCAUUGUGAAAGCAGAAAAUCACUUAAUUGCAAUGACUGAGCAAUAACCAGACUUUCAAACGGACUGCGCAUACUUACAAAAUUUGUAGACCACAGUCACUCUUCAACACCACUGCAGUGAGUGUUUCAAAAAUCAUAGAAGAAGUAAAAAUGCAAAUGAAAAAUACAGCAAUCUCCCUGGCCAAAUUAUUCAAUCAUAUAUGACUUAUACUCUUUCACAUAUAGUGCCGACUUCCUAUGCUAUGUUUGCAUCAUUUCCAGUACCGGAGAUGUAAGUUGUGUAAAGACUUCUGUAGAGUUCUAAUUUGUUUUAUGCAUUUUUUGCAAAUUUGACUCUAUGAAAGUGCAAUAUUAGAACGUUGACUUUGUGUGUAAGCAUUGUGCACGUAUAUGAAAAUGUCAAAACUUCCUUAAUAAUGAAGAGAUGUCCUUUCUGUACAUCUGAAUUUGUGAAAGAUAAAAUAUCUCAAGAUGUCAGCUGCUUGGGCAACUGCAUAUGUGGUGGUGACUCAAUGUGGUUUUUGAUGGGUCUCAUUGAAACAUGCAGGUUGUCCAUCAUAGUAUUUCAGAUGACUGCAUUUAUAAAGCUGGGUGCACACAGUUACCAACCAUAGUGAUAUGUGUUUAUACAUUUCACUUUUUGACUUAUUUAUUAAUGAAUAUGGUUUGUCUGCUCAUAACUGUUAUAUGCGUGUGGCUAUCAUUAGAAUACUUGAGUGCUUAUGCUUGCAAAAAUGUAUAUGUUAUUAUUGCCUAUUUUAUGGUGUAAAGUGGCCUAUGAUGUGUUCUGUCAUGUUUUUAUAUGUUUCUCAAAUAAAUUCCCUUUAAAAUGUAAAUAAAUGUAUUUUUUAAAUUUUUUAAAAUUAUUCUUUCUACCUGGGUUUGGUGGCACAUGCCUGUAGUCCCACCCAGCUACUUGGGAGGCUGAAGCAGGAGGAUUACUUGAGCCCAGGAGUUCGAGGCUGCAAUAUGCUAUGCUCGUGCCUAUAAAUAGCCAUUGCACUCCAACCUAAGCAACAAGCAAGACCCUAUCGCUAAAUAAAUAAGUUUUUCUCCGGAAUUAUAUAUUUGGUAUUUUGAUCUUUCAGGAUUUCAACAUUUGGAAUUAAGGCAAUAGGGAUUGUAUCUUUUGAGAUUAUGCCCCAACUCAACUCUAUCCUAUGUCAUUGACCUCUAGAGAUAUUCUUCUGGAUUGAGUAAGGUCAGUGUUUUUCAUACUGGGAUUAGAGAACAGAUCACUCCUUGUGGUGUCAUGGCUGUGAAAGAUGAGAUUUGAUUGGCAGAAGCCAAUUAGAUAACUGCUUGGAAGACUUGCCAGAUAUCAGUGCAAUGGGAAGGAGAAAUUGCAAUUUGAAAAGAUUAUACCCCUUUUCAUUUGGGAUUUUUAAGUUCUUCCAGGUAAAAAUAUCUCAUGUAUACAGUUGCUGGUCGGUAUGUACAUUUUACAACCACUUUGGGGAAUAAUUUGGAAGUACCUAGAAAAGUUGAAGAUGCACUUCCCAUACAACCCAGCAAUUUCACUUCCAAGUGGCUGCUAUGGACUAAAUUGUGUCCUCUCAAAUUCACAUGUUAAAGCCUUAACCUUCAAUGCAUCCGGUCACAGGGUCUUUAGGAAAUAUUUAAGGUUAAAUGUGGUAAUAAGGAUGAGGCCCUAAUUCAAUAGCACUGUGUCUUUCUAAGAAGAGGAAGAGAAAGAGAUCUCAUUCUCUCUCUUUCUGCUACAUGAAGACACAGUGGGUGGCCACCUACAAGGCAGCAAAAGGGGCCUCACCAGAGCCCAGUUCUCCUUGGUACCUUGAUCUCAGACUUCCGUCCUCCAGAACUGUGAGAAAAUAAGUUUUGCUUGUUUAAUCUACUCAGUCUAUGGUGUUUUGUAUUUGCAUUUGCAUGGUAUUUUGCAGCCUGAGCAGGCCAAGACAGUGGCUAUCCUAGAAAAGCUUUUAUGUGUGUUGAGGAAGACAAAAUACAAAGUACAUAUUCAUCAUACCAUUGUUCCUAAUAAAGAAUUACAGAAACUGGCCAGGCAUGGUGGCUCAUGCCAAUAAUAAAUAAUACCAGCACUUUGGGAGGCUGAGGUGGACAGAUCACUUGAGG